UCUGCCUUAUUUUUCCUCUUUUCUUUUAAAAGUUGAGCACACAUUGAAAUUUUCUUUGGCUAGCCUAAGCCUUCAUUGCCGUGUUGAGUGCAUGCUUUUCACAACUCAGUCCUCUUUUCACAACUCCUCUCUCAGUUUUGUAUUUGACUUAGAUCUAGAUCUACAUGUUAAACGUACGAAUGUCACUGUCUAAACGUAAACCCUGUUCUGUGUACUAGGCCUACCCCCAUCUGAUCCUGUCAUCAUGUAGAACAACUCCUCUGCACCAUUUGCAGUUCUCCAGACUGGAGGAAACCAACCGAAGAAGAAGAAGAAGCUGCCGAGACUUCUCUUCAUUAGAUCUAGUCCUAACAGUUAGGACUAACUGUUACUAGAUCUGAAAAUGAAAUGUAGCUCCGCGGCCGUUAUUGGUGCAAAAAAUUCCUCCAAGCGGCAGGCCCUCCAAGCUAUAAACUAGUUAGUUUUAUAGAUAUAGAUUCUAGGUCUAAGUUAGAUAGGCUAACUAUAGGCCUAGAUCUAGACUUUGUCUCGGGGCCUAGACUAGUCCUAGGAUGGGGGGUUGGGUGUCCGGCCACUUGUCUUAACAAAAUUGAAGCCCUGUUUUUUGUCUUUGGAUUAAGCCAAAAUAUAUAGAUCUAGGCCUACGUUGAAUUGUGCUUUUCAUCAUCAAUAUUUGAUCUCCACAAUAUUGUUUCCCAUUUUGUGCUAAAAAACAACGAAGAAUUUGAUUGUAAACCUUUUCAAAUGGCUGUUAAAAUGGAGUGUCCGGACACCCAACCCGUCCGGACACCCAAUAACUGGACAAAAAGUUACUAGAGUCUAGAUUUACUAGAAUUAAUCCGAGUGAAUUACAAUAGACCACACUGAUAAACCUAAACUAAAUAGUAAAUUUUCUAAACAACAAUUUUUAGAAUAAUAGAAGUCUAACGUAAUACUAAUAUAGGACAAAGAGGAAUAAAAGAUCUAACCAGUUGUUUAUCAGUGUGAUCUACUUUAAAACUGUUAGGCCCCUAGAUCUAGUCUAGAUGUUAGAUCUAUACCGGUAGUCAAAUAACUUAAUGUAGAUCAAUAAUCUUAAUGCUAUUAAGUAAUAUCAAUAGAUUUACUUCUCAUUUUUGCAGAUGAAAAGAAGAAAGCCAGAGGAGGUAGCGAAGCACUACAUUAGUUGUGGCCAGGACCCAGACUGGAUCCAACAAAAAUGGGUGAACAAGGAAAAAGGUCGUGGUGUAGUUGCUACAAGGGAUAUUACAAGAGGUGAAUUUAUAGCUGAAUAUGAAGGGCAUCUGAUUACAGAAGAAGAACUUGAAAGAAGGGAAGAACAAAUAGAAAGUGUCUUCAGAUAUGAAUUCACCUGGAAAGGAAAGAAACUAUGCCGGAUCAUCUGUUGGUGUACCAACCCUUGGACCUCUUUCUCCUCCUAGAGUCCCACAGAGUCCCACUAAGGAACGCCUUGAUCCUCAAAAUUCAUCACGAUGUAAUGAUGGAGCUGGAUCAUCUGGUGGUGUAUCAGCCCCUGGACCUCUUUGUCCUCCUAGGAAAAAUCCUACCCUGGUACCCCUCAAUCGUCAGGAAGAUUCAUCAAGAGGUACUGCAUAUUAAAACAAUCCCUGUAUAUCAAUAGUGUAACUAAUUGUUUACUAGUUUAUUCCUCCUUGUGCUAAAGAAAAAAUAUGUUUUAGAGACAUUGAUCUUUAAUACAGUUUAAUUUGCAAUGAAUAAACAUGGAUGUAUGAAUUUCUG
rnacentral:misc_RNA from 1 species